rnacentral:tRNA from 1 species
GCCGACGUAGCCCAACUGGCAGAGGUGCCCGACUCAAAAUCGGGAGGUUCAGGGUUCAAGUCCCUGCGUCGGUA